rnacentral:rRNA from 1 species
GAGUUUGAUCCUGGCUCAGAUUGAACGCUGGCGGCAUGCUUUACACAUGCAAGUCGGACGGCAGCACAGGAAGCUUGCUUCUUGGGUGGCGAGUGGCGAACGGGUGAGUAACAUAUCGGAACGUACCGAGUAGUGGGGGAUAACUGAUCGAAAGAUCAGCUAAUACCGCAUACGUCUUGAGAGGGAAAGCAGGGGACCUUCGGGCCUUGCGCUAUUCGAGCGGCCGAUAUCUGAUUAGCUGGUUGGUGGGGUAAAGGCUCACCAAGGCGACGAUCAGUAGCGGGUCUGAGAGGAUGAUCCGCCACACUGGGACUGAGACACGGCCCAGACUCCUACGGGAGGCAGCAGUGGGGAAUUUUGGACAAUGGGCGCAAGCCUGAUCCAGCCAUGCCGCGUGUCUGAAGAAGGCCUUCGGGUUGUAAAGGACUUUUGUCAGGGAAGAAAAGGCUGUUGCUAAUACAGCGGCGAUGACGGUACCUGAAGAAUAAGCACCGGCUAACUACGUGCCAGCAGCCGCGGUAAUACGUAGGGUGCGAGCGUUAAUCGGAAUUACUGGGCGUAAAGCGGGCGCAGACGGUUACUUAAGCAGAUGUGAAAUCCCCGGGCUCAACCCGGGAACUGCGUUCUGAACUGGGUGACUGAGUGUGUCAGAGGGAGGUAGAAUUCCACGUGUAGCAGUGAAAUGCGUAGAGAUGUGGAGGAAUACCGAUGGCGAAGGCAGCCUCCUGGGAAACACUGACGUUCAUGCCCGAAAGCGUGGGUAGCAAACAGGAUUAGAUACCCUGGUAGUCCACGCCCUAAACGAUGUCAAUUAGCUGUUGGGCAACUUGAUUGCUUGGUAGCGUAGCUAACGCGUGAAAUUGACCGCCUGGGGAGUACGGUCGCAAGAUUAAAACUCAAAGGAAUUGACGGGGACCCGCACAAGCGGUGGAUGAUGUGGAUUAAUUCGAUGCAACGCGAAGAACCUUACCUGGUCUUGACAUGUACGGAAUCCUCCAGAGACGGAGGAGUGCCUUCGGGAGCCGUAACACAGGUGCUGCAUGGCUGUCGUCAGCUCGUGUCGUGAGAUGUUGGGUUAAGUCCCGCAACGAGCGCAACCCUUGUCAUUAGUUGCCAUCAUUCAGUUGGGCACUCUAAUGAGACUGCCGGUGACAAGCCGGAGGAAGGUGGGGAUGACGUCAAGUCCUCAUGGCCCUUAUGACCAGGGCUUCACACGUCAUACAAUGGUCGGUACAGAGGGUAGCCAAGCCGCGAGGGGAGCCAAUCUCACAAAACCGAUCGUAGUCCGGAUUGCACUCUGCAACUCGAGUGCAUGAAGUCGGAAUCGCUAGUAAUCGCAGGUCAGCAUACUGCGGUGAAUACGUUCCCGGGUCUUGUACACACCGCCCGUCACACCAUGGGAGUGGGGGAUACCAGAAGUAGGUAGGGUAACCGCAAGGAGUCCGCUUACCACGGUAUGCUUCAUGACUGGGGUGAAGUCGUAACAAGGUAGCCGUAGGGGAACCUGCGGCUGGAUCACC